rnacentral:rRNA from 1 species
GGGGAAUAUUGGGCAAUGGGCGAAAGCCUGACCCAGCGACGCCGCGUGGGUGAUGAAGGCCUUCGGGUUGUAAAGCCCUGUCAUGCGGAAAGAACAGUCUUACGGUUAAUACCCGUGAGAUUUGACGGUACCGCAGGAGGAAGCACCGGCUAACUCCGUGCCAGCAGCCGCGGUAAUACGGAGGGUGCAAGCGUUGUUCGGAAUUAUUGGGCGUAAAGGACGCGUAGGCGGUAAUGAAAGUCAGAUGUGAAAUACUUCGGCUCAACUGAAGAACUGCAUCUGAAACUUCAUAACUAGAGUACAGAAGAGGGAAAUGGAAUUCCCGGUGUAGAGGUGAAAUUCGUAGAUAUCGGGAGGAACACCAGUGGCGAAGGCGAUUUCCUGGUCUGAUACUGACGCUGAGGCGUGAAAGUGUGGGGAGCAAAC